rnacentral:rRNA from 1 species
UACGGAGGGUGCGAGCGUUUGUCCGGAAUCAUUGGGCGUAAAGGGCGCGUAGGUGGUGGCUUAAGCGUGCGGUGAAAACCCGGGGCUCAACCCCGGGCCUGCAGUCGAUACGGGCAGACUAGAGUGCGGUAGGGGAGACUGGAAUUCCUGGUGUAGCGGUGAAAUGCGCAGAUAUCAGGAGGAACACCGGUGGCGAAGGCGGGUCUCUGGGCCGUAACGACGCUGAGGAGCGAAAGCGUGGGGAGCGAACAGG